AUUGAACGCUGGCGGUAGGCCUAACACAUGCAAGUCGAGCGGCAGCGGAAAGUAGCUUGCUACUUUGCCGGCGAGCGGCGGACGGGUGAGUAAUGUCUGGGAAACUGCCUGAUGGAGGGGGAUAACUACUGGAAACGGUAACUAAUACCGCAUAACGUCGCAAGACCAAAGGGGGGGACCUUCGGGCCUCUUGCCAUCAGAUGUGCCCAGAUGGGAUUAGCUAGUAGGUGGGGUAACGGCUCACCUAGGCGACGAUCCCUAGCCGGUCUGAGAGGAUGACCAGCCACACUGGAACUGAGACACGGUCCAGACUCCUACGGGAGGCAGCAGUGGGGAAUAUUGCACAAUGGGCGCAAGCCUGAUGCAGCCAUGCCGCGUGUAUGAAGAAGGCCUUCGGGUUGUAAAGUACUUUCAGCGGGGAGGAAGGCGUUGAGGUUAAUAACCUCAGCGAUUGACGUUACCCGCAGAAGAAGCACCGGCUAACUCCGUGCCAGCCGCCGCGGUAA
rnacentral:rRNA from 1 species